AGGGGCUUGCUACGGAAGCCAGGAAGUUAACUGCUGUGAGGUAAAAGUUCUUUCUUUUCGCAGCAACAUGGAAAGAGAGCGGACCAGUUCCUACAAAGAGCUGUUGGUUUCUGAAGAUUUACUACUAUAUAGUUUUCCUUUCUGCCGUGGGUUACCGCAGUGUAUCGACUGAAAACCGCUGCUUGCAUGCGUACAGCUGCACGCUUAAGACUGGCGACGGCCUUUUAAUGUUACACAUAACAGAAACCGAGGCCAACUCCUCCAGAAAGGUGAAGGUUGAACACCUGAAAUAAGAGCCGAGCCGGAGGAAAAGGGGCAUAAGAGAAGGUGCAGCACUUGGUGUCACCUCUAAGACUGAGGGAUGAGGACGUAAAACAAAUAUCUCUGUGAACGUGGUCUAAACUGGAUGAAUUCAAUCCAAGGAUGAUGGUAUAAUCCCAGGAUUUAAUCUGCUGUGGAUCAGCUGGUGAAAAUGGGAGUGAAAACUGAUGUCUGGAUGAAGAUGGGUUAGAGAGAGCUUGAAAGCCAGCGCAGAAGACCACCGCUCAUUCUGGGACUCCCUUUUAUGGUAAACUCUGAAGCUGCAUGGAAUCAGCAAAGCUAAUUCUUGUGAGUGGGGAUGAGUUGGGCUGUGAUCAGAAGUUCUAUUAUCAACUUAUCCACUUUAUAGCUAUAUUUAUACAUUUUUCUAGAUGGCUCUAGUGAGAUUUUUUUCAGAACUAGUGAUAAAUCUAGUGACUCUUUGAAGCUGUUGCAGCUCAGCUGCAACCUGUCUGUCCUGAGUGAGCAGAGAGUUCGGCCAUUAGCCGCUAUUAGCUUCUCCUGCUUCCUAACCUUAACCCCAAAAUUCACACAGAAACAAAGAUAUAACCCUAAAUAACCUAUGUACACCGUUUUAUCAGCAAAAAAGAUGAUUUGUGGGUUAGUUGUGCUUUAAUCUCUUCUGCUCUCAUCCUCAUUACAGUUCCGACUGAAAUUUUAUUUGUCUGCUAUUGGAAUGAAACGGUUUGCAUUCAAAUCUGAUUCUAACAAGCUGAUGAAACGAACCCAUCGCAUGCAGUCUGGAAUGAUCUGAUCUGAAGAAGAACCUUUUUGUUCAGUUGUAUUUGCUGAAUAAACCACUGAACUUU